UNUACAAUGUAGUCUGGCCUAAGCAGGGAAA
rnacentral:piRNA from 1 species